rnacentral:rRNA from 1 species
ACUUACGGCCAUACCACCCUGAACAUGCCCGAUCUCGUCUGAUCUCGGAAGCGAACCAGGGUCGGGCCUGGUCAGUACUUGGAUUGAAGACAGCCUGAGAAUACCAGGUGCAGUAAGCU